AUGGAUACCGAAUGGGAGCUAAAAUUUCCUCUGGUAACCGUGCGAGCCCUAGAGCGUAUUGAGGCUUUAUCGGAUCAUGCACCCAUCAUUCUGGAUUCUAAUUCUACGAAACCAGUUGCCCGAUGCCCUUUCAAAUUUGAAUUGGGUUGGAUGCAUAGGGAGGGAUUUGUAGACAUGAUCAAGAAUAUUUGGGAGAGGCCCGUUGUUGGUCGUACACCUAUUCAGAGAUGGAACUUUAAAAUAAGGGCCAUGAGGCAACACCUCUCUGGAUGGGCAAAACAUACCAACGGGAUUUAUAAAAAAGAAAAACAACGACUCUCUGCCAUUAUUGAUGACCUCGACAAAAUUGCAGAGAUGCGCAUCUUAUCUCAACAAGAGAUUGAAUUAAAAAAUCAAUCUAAUGAGAAGAUUGCCCGUCUUCUGCGAGAAGAGGAGAUCAAAUACUACCAGAUAUCCAAAGCCGAUUUCAUUUUGAUGGGUGAUAGUAAUACAAGAUACUUCCAAUUGGUCGCUAAUGGGCGGCAUAGGAAGAAAUGUAUUUAUAGUAUCCAACAAGAUGAGGGGCGUAUCGAAGGUCAAGAGGAGCUCAAAAAGUAUAUCACCGACUACUACAAAUCUUUGUUCGGAGCGCCGGCUGAAGGGAAUUUCACCCUUGAUGAGACCCAAAUAGAUGACAUUCCACAAGUCACGACAGAAGAAAAUGAUAUUUUGAUGGCACCAUUCUCGGAAGAGGAGGUGAGAGCUGCAAUGUUCCAAAUGGAACAUAACAAAGCUCCACGCCCAGAUGGUUUCCCCACAGAAUUCUAUCAGAAUUUCUGGGAUAUCAUCAAGGCUGACCUUAUGGAGUUGUUCAAUUGUCUUCAUGCCGACCGAACAUUGUCGAGAUUGUCUUGUUUUGGCUUAAUUUUGGCGAGAUUGUCUUGUUGCCAAAGAUUAAGGAGGCUGAACGGAUCCAACAGUUUAGACCCAUAUGCCUCCUUAAUGUUAGUUUCAAGAUUUUCACCAAAGUGA
rnacentral:rRNA from 1 species